rnacentral:rRNA from 1 species
GACGAACGCUGGCGGCGUGCUUAACACAUGCAAGUCGAACGAAGUGGCGAACGGGUGAGUAACGCGUAAUCAACCUGCCCUUCAGCGGGGGACAACAGUUGGAAACGACUGCUAAUACCGCAUACUGAAGGAGGGGAUUGCGUCUGAUUAGCUAGUUGGAGGGGUAACGGCCGACCAAGGCGAUGAUCAGUAGCCGGUCUGGGAGGAUGAACGGCCAACAUGGGACUGAGAAACGGCCCAGACCCCUACGGGAGACAGCAGUGGGGAAGCUUCCGCAAUGGACGAAAGUCUGACGGAGCAACGCCGGGGGAGUGAUGACGGCCUUCGGGUUGUAAAGCUCUGUUAAUCGGGACGCGGUACCGGAAUAGAAAGCCACGGCUAACUACGUGCCAGCCGCCGCGGUAAUUC